GGGGUUGUGGCUCAGAGGUAGAGCGCUCACCUAGCAUGUGUGAGGGUUCAAUUCUCAGCACCA
rnacentral:tRNA from 1 species